UUGUGACUGGGCCUCAUGCCAAACAACUCGUUACAAAAAGAACUAGGGUCCCAGACUGUGCCGAAGCUUCAUGAGAUCUCUCCUGUCUGUGCACGGACGAGUGGCCGACUCUGGAGCCCAGGGUGUUGCUUCCCGGUCUGGUAGUGAAUCGUCCAUAGUCUGGUGGAAGACGGAAAGAGAAAACCAUAUGAAAAAAAGACACAAAUUUCUAAAAAAGCAUCCUGUCUUUGAAGAGUGGCAAAUACUAUUCUGUUUUUGAGUACAGAAAUAGAUCCAACUUGGAAUUAUAAAACAGAAUGUGCCUCAUCACUUGGACUUAACCAUAUGACUUGCUUUGACCAAUAAAAUAUAAGUGGAAAUUCUACUAUGCUACUUCCAAGAAAAGUCUUAAAGAAGUCUGGAAAAUUUCCACAUCUCUCUAUACAUGUCCUCUGUCCCCAGUCAGAGGAAAACAUACUAGGAAGUUGUUAAUUCUUUAGCUCAGAUCCUGGAAUGAAGACACCUGGAGUAGACUUGAAAGUCUGAAGUCCAGCUGACCCCCAGCUCAAAUUAGUGAAAGUACAGUCCACCAGCCAACCUGCACAAUAUAUUUAACUGACUUCCAUCUUCAAGCAAAGAGUUGUUCUCCAAAUGGCAAUUGGAAUUUGCAGCAACCUGAGUGAGGAGAGAGAUAAAUUGAAUAAUUGUUAGGCAAAAAUGAACCAGAACUUGAAGACUUGGAAAAUUACCAGCCUAUUUAUAUUGCAAAAUAAUACCAAAGAAUUUUGGGAAGAGAACAUCAAGGAUAUUGCUGGGCUACAAAGAUCUGCUAGAAAGAUUACAGUUACCAUGGUGCUGCAACUGGCUGAACAUGCUGUUACUAUGGAAACAACAGUGUAUUUCUCUGCAUCUCAUACAUUUUGGUACAUUCUUCAGAUCUUUUCUUCACAUGUGCAUUUAUUUUCAUAUGACAAAUAUGUAAUUAAAAGUUCUAUAGUUCUUGAGCAAUUAGGGCAACUUAGACAAUAUUUUCAUACUUACAGAACAAUUGAAAAUUAAUGACAGAAUAUACACAAUAUUGUAUAUUUUUACUCAUCUUCGUAUUCAACCAAAAAUUAUCAGCUUACUUUUUGCAUGUGUUCUUUAUAGAAAUAACUUGUUUAUUUAAAAUAUUUUAUGAAAAAGUAUCACAUAUUUUCUUGGUGCUUCACCAACAAAAUCAACAAAAAUAUGUUUACUGGCAACACAAAAGGAAAAUAUAUUGAAAUAACUCUUAUGAUGCCUACUAGUUAAAAGGAAUAAAAUAUUUUUGUCACUGAGUCAACUCCAAUAAGAGAAAAUAAAAUUAUUCUAAGGAAUUAUAUAUAUAUUUUUUUCUGUGUGUAUCCUUCAUCUUUAUCAGUGCAUUUUUCUAUUGAUUGUAAUGAAAAUAUUUGCAAUUAAAAAUAAAUGUUGCCCUAAAAAUAAUAACUAACACUUACUGGGUAUUUUUUUGUAAUAUAAGAAAGCCAAUAAACAAUAAUUUUACAUAUAUUUUUCACGUAUCAGAUUUAGUGAAGAAAAUUCCUGUAAAUAUUCAUAUAUUACCAUUGUAGGCAUUAUCUUUUUAAUUAUACUACUUCUGGGUUUAUAUACUUUCCACUACCCUCCAUACAUACACUGAAAGACAUUCUGACUACUAAAUCAUAAUUCAUUACAACUUCCAGAGAAAUUAUAAUUAGGACUGUAACAAAACAUAUUUUUAACUGAAAAUGCAAACUGGAGAUCUGCAAUGAAGCCCAUUGUUGCACAAAAUUAUCUUUCUACUGAUGCUUAUUUCGUGUAGCAGGCUAUCAUCAGUUUAGAAAUAUUUACAAGUAUUUACUUGUCUGUAGAUGGCAUGAUGUUCUAGUCUUUCAUAAUCUAAAACACCUGUUUAAUAUACAUUUUACAUUUACCAAACCAUCAUGUGAAACACAAUUUUGAAGUUUAUUCAUUCGUGCUACCUAAAAUCGAUUUGACACUUUAUUUCAAAGAAUUAAACAUAUAAGGACAAAUGUAAAUUGAUGCUCCUUCUGUAUCUAAUUUAUCCUUUUAUAAGAAUUGCACAUUAAAGAAAUACACAUUUCCUUAAAAUUAAAUAUAGGUUAUUGAAUACGUUUAAUAUGUUAGAGAAAGACUGCAUUAGAAAUAAAUGUAGCAUUUAAAAAUAUAUUUCGUAGUCUGAGGCAUGCACUGAAGUGAUGAUUAUAUCCUUAUCUUGAUACAAUUAGGAAAUAUUUUUGCAUGUGAGGAUGCUCUUUAUGGAGGGUAAAUAUUUGGAGUUUGUCAUCUCGCGCCAAGAAGAUAAAAGAAAUGGACACACACAAGGAGUGAGUUUAGGAGAGUAGGUUUAAUAGGCAAAAGAAAGAGAAAGGAGAACAGCUCUCCCUCAGAAGACAGAGGGGCCCACGAAAGGGAAAUCUGGCCCACUGCAGAGUGCACCAGAUUUUAUAAGUAGGCUUGAGGAGGUGGAUUCUGAUUUACAUAAGGCCCACAGAUUGGUUGGACCAGGUGUGACAUAAUAAUCUUGCAUAAUCUUAUUACGCAAAAUGACUUUGCAGUUGGCUGGCACCAUGUUGUCAGCAUCUUACAGUACACGUGGCUGGCAAAGAAAAGGGAAGAUGGAACCACCAUUUUGAAUAUGCCUCGUCCCAGGUAGCCUUUUCCUAUUGGCACCACUGCCGGCACUCGCCCAUGCAAACCUCCAGCUUGCUUGUCUGUGUCUGCAGCUCGAUUUUACUGGCUGCUCUUAGUUAGAAAAUAAAAUGAUUUGGGGGCCGCUUUUCAUUAAAAGGAAAACCUUACCAAGAACUUCCUUACCCUCACUAUCUGCCUAAAUAAUUUCUUCUUAACUUCUAUAUCAUUACUUUACAUUAUUUACCAGUUUUUUUUAAAAACAUCUUGGGCAAAAACGUAAUAAAUUUAUUGAAAAAUGUUAUGUUAGUGCUCCCUUUUUUCAUGUUUUGCUGUCUUCAUAGUUUGCAAAUAAAGGCCUUUAAAAUACUAUAUUUAAAUAACAGCAACUAUAUUAGAUUAAUUAUUGUAAUAAAUGCUUCCCUGAUUAAUACAUUUUCCUCAUAUUUUUUAUUUAAUAAAGACAAAUCAAAGGAAUUAUUUAACAAUUUUUGCACAACUAUUCUUAACUGACAAAGAUGAUUUGUUUAAAAGGAUCUUCAGGGUAGCAAAGAUACAUGCUAAGAGGGUAACACCAGGAAAAAAGACAAAUACAUUCUACUACAAGAAAAUGCUUCAAGACCAAAAAUAUUAAUUCAAUAAGAAAAUAUUUCAUAUAUCUUUUAUGAGAGAAACUAUUAAUUAACUCACUUCUGUAAUCCAGUUACGUGGCAUAUAUUCCUUUUUCUAGUUUAUCAUGCAAAAGUUUGGAAAGAUUUUCUCUAAACAGAGCAAGUCAGUGCUAACGGUUUCAAGUCAGGGCUGGCAGUCAGCCUGGAAGAGCAUGCUCAGAAGGCCGUUUACACUUACCUGACCCCUGCCUGAUACUCUCACCUGCUCCAAAAGGGUUCAGUUAAUUUCUAUUACUAAUGAAUUAUCUCUUAUACUUACUUAAUAGACAUAUGAAUUACUACAAAUAUACCUAUAAAUUAACAGGAUAUCAUUCAAUAUGGAGGACAGCAGCUGGAACCUAAUGACACCCUGGAGGUCUCUUGGUUACUGUUUUUAGGAAACAGAAAAAAACCUGCCUCAUUCCAGGUAAAACAUAAAAAUAACACUUUAACAGAAAGUGUUCAUCCUGCCUGUAUGCUUCCCCUAAAAUGCCGUGUGCGCAACACAGAAUUAAAUAAAAUUAGGACAUAAGAAUUAACAAGUACACCCAAAGCAGACAAGAAGUUUAAGUAAGGACUGCUUCCUGUAAUCCUAUCCAUAUUGUUUCAUAGACAAUUUUCAGAACAUAAAAAUACAAUAAAUAAUGGAAAUACAGGGAUUCAUUUAUUACUUUUUGCUUUACAAUCAAAGACACCCAAUAAUAUUUCUAUUUACUUCUUAUAAAAGAUUAUCAAUUUACUUUUAAAACAAAAUAAAAAAGUAUAAUUAAAAAAAAUUCCAAAUCAAUUCCUACAGACAGCACAGAAAAGGGGGAAAAGGAAAUUAUUUUCCCUGCUUUCAAGCUUUAUUACACAGGUUCAAAAAUGAUUAUUUUAUGCCAUCCUUAAGUCAAAGGACAUACUGCCAUGCUUCUCUGCACUGAGUCUUAGGACAUGCUAAUGUUGCCAAAUCAAAUUUAAAUAUAGUCCCAAUGGCAUCACAAUUUACAAAUGCAUAUGCCAGGAUUAAGGAUGAAUAGGGGGAAAAACUCCAAAUGUUCUAGAAUGCAGUUUAAUCAAAUGAGUUAAAUGAAAUAAGAAACAUUUAAUUUAGUAGUCUAUCCUGUUAAAUAAUGAGUUUGUGUAGAAAACGUAGUCAAACAGAGCUAAAAAUCAUGUCUAGUAAAUGACACAAAUGAUUUCUCAAAUGUUCAAGUUUGACUUAAGUUCAAAGUCUAGUAGGUGGGGAUUAAUGAUCUAUAUACUCUUUAUACUAAUUUUAGAACUUUAAAUUCCAGAAAGACAAACUAAUUUAUUCAUUAGUUUACUUUUGACAACAGAAUUCUAAACACACAGAAUUAAUGCAGUGGCCUCAGCACCCUCCCAGUUAACAUUUCUUUAAGUCAGAUUACAAGAACAGUAAAACAUUUCAGAAGACACACACUAUGCACUUCAUAGGUCUGCCCAAGUUGUCCCCAACUCUUUUGCAAGACACAAAGACAAUUCACCUGAUUCUAAGUCUAUUCAGCAGAAAUACAAAAAUCAUGCAAAUGUUAGCAUGGUUUCAACACAUUAUGGAAAUACAUUUGGAGAGAUGGAGUACUCGAUGUAUAUUAUGUGGGCCACUUUAAAUCAAAGGCAUCAUUAUUUAUUCAACUUUCAGACAUUGCCAUGGUAACUUAUACCUUUAUAUCAGGUAGGUCCAAGGCCAGAGACUUUAGUAUCAUUCCAAAGAAUAUAGAGAUAUUUAUAUACAUAUUUCUUUUAAAAUAAUAUUUAAGAGUUUUACUACAGAAAGUCUGGCUUCAACAUGGAAGCAUUUUUCCUUUUCAAGAUUAUACACCUGCAUGAAAGUAGGUGAUUUCCUCUACAUUUAGUUUUUUCACAAUAGCAAAAUAGACUUCUUAUAUAUUGCAUUUAAAUUGACAAGAAAUGUAAGAUGUAAAGUUCCAUGUAACUUUUUGUAUUGUGAACUGUUCUCUUUAAACAUACUCCAGAUACAUUGCUGAUUAUUUAAUACAGUACAACUUGAUCAACUUAAUUAGAAGUGUUAUGAUGAACAAACUGUGAAACCAAAUGUAUGUUAAAACAGUAGGUAGAGCUAACUAUUAUGACUAAAAGGGAAUUUUAAUGUAUCCUCAAAAUAUACAUCAAUUUUCUUGUUAUUACUUGUUUCUAUAAUGCAUUUCUUUCUAAACCUAAAACUAUAUGUAUAAAAAAUAAAUAUCUUCAAA
rnacentral:lncRNA from 1 species